UACGGAGGGUGCAAGCGUUAUCCGGAUUCACUGGGUUUAAAGGGUGCGUAGGUGGGUAGGUAAGUCAGCGGUGAAAUCCCCGAGCUUAACUUGGGAACUGCCAUUGAUACUAUCUGUCUUGAAUACCUUGGAGGUGAGCGGAAUAUGUCAUGUAGCGGUGAAAUGCUUAGAUAUGACAUAGAACACCAAUUGCGAAGGCAGCUCACUACACGAAUAUUGACACUGAGGCACGAAAGCGUGGGGAUCAAACAGG
rnacentral:rRNA from 1 species